UAAUGGUAGAUUUUCAGUCUUCCAAACUGCUCGUGCGAGUUCGAAUCUCGCUG
rnacentral:tRNA from 15 species